GAAUGACUCUCCAUCCAGUAAGUCCCUGGCUGGCCUGGUGGUCCAACUGCUUCAGUUUCAAGAGGAUGCGUUUGGACGCAGGGUCAACAAUCCUCCUCUUACCAAACUACCUGCCAAAUGUUUCCUUGAUUUCAAGGCAGGAGGAACUCUCUGUCACAUCUUGGGAUCAGUAUACAAGUAUAAAAGUGAGCAGGGCUGGUAAGUUAACUGUUUCUUUUGAACCGUAAUAAUUUAAAUACUACCCAACGUUUUGAUGUGUAAGGACGGCACUUGGCAAAAUGUUACAACUGUGUUUUCUCUUACUUUGUAUUUUUGUGUUUUUAUGAUGUAAAGCACUUUGAACUGAUUGUUCAAAUUAACAUUUGAUUAAAAACCCAAAUUUGGAAAACAUGAUUUAUAUUAAAUUUCAGACCUAAUAAAUUCAUACAUACAGAUUUUUUCUCACUCUUUGAAGUUCGGUCACACUUAGUUUUUCUUGGUUUUGGUUAGUUAAUGUUAGCAAAAUUAUUUCUAUUUACUAAAUGCCAGAAAACUUAAUAUCUUAUUGAUGUUUUUUAGAGAUUUUUUGUGAAUUAGUAUGUUGUGUCUAAGCACUUAAGUUGCUCUUGACACAAUUUGUUUGGGAUUUUUUCAGUAUAAUGAAUAUUUAUUACUUCUCAAUGGCUUAUUGAUCUGUGUGAUUGAAAUAAAACUUAUAUUUUAUACAUUAAACAACAUAAUUGAAAUUAGAGGAAAUGUUUUGUUAAAUUAAUAUUUUGCUUUUGGAGCAGUCAUGUAUAUAAGGUGUGUGUGAGACAUUUUAAAACAUUGUGUUACAUUUUCAUUUACUGUGUCCCUGCUGUAGCUUGUAGAUUACCAUCACAAGACAUUAUUAAUGACAGAAAAUGAUAUAUAAUCGUGAAUUGAAACUCUCUUUUUUAAGUUCAUUUGUAUUGUUUUUUACUCAAAAGUGUGGAAAAGUUCAAAACUUGAAUUUUUAAAAGUGCUUGAAUUUUACUGUGGGAUAAGUGUAUGAAUCCUGCACAUAUUUCAGAUAAAAAAUGUGCAGCCACUAGAUGGCAGCACACAUUCACAGUAUCAAAGGUAAUGCAGCUGGGAGUUUUGAUGACACCACAGCCUCUUUGAGAAGCAGAAGUUGGCCAGCUUGGCAUCACCGUAAACGAUGGUUUUACGUACUCCUUUUAGCAUACACUGCACAUAAUAAAAGACUUUUCCAGCAGACGUUUUUUUUUUUCAGCAAAAUUAACAAAAAUAAAAUAAAAUUUUAAAGGGGCUUUAAUCCUUCAUUUAAAGGAACUCAGCAUUUCAGCUGCAUUGCAGUUUUCUGGAAGUUUAUUUCAGAUUAGAUGAGCAUAACAACCGAAUGCUGCUUUGCCAAGUUUGGUUGUGAUUCUAGGGAUUGAGAGUAGAACCCGUAGUCUGGGAGGUUGAUACAACAUCAUCAAAUAUUUAAAGUAUUUUGGUUUUAUGCCAUCCAUUGGUUUAUAAACCCACAAAAGUAGUUUUAGAGUCUAUUUUGAGCUACAAUGAGCCAGUAUAAGGACUUCAGAGCAGCAGCGCUCUGACUUUUCAGGGAGACUUAUGAAGGCAUUGCUGCAAUACUCGGUUCAACUAAAGAUAAACACAUACUAUAGCCUUAAUAUAAAUAAUAGAUUUGCUGUAAAUAAAUAUA